rnacentral:rRNA from 1 species
AGGACGAACGCUGGCGGCGUGCUUAACACAUGCAAGUCGAACGGUGAAGUGAGGAGCUUGCUCCUUGCGGAUCAGUGGCGAACGGGUGAGUAACACGUGAGUAACCUGCCCUUGACUCUGGGAUAAGCGUUGGAAACGACGUCUAAUACCGGAUACGACCUCCGAAGGCAUCUUCUGGAGGUGGAAAGAAUUUCGGUCAAGGAUGGACUCGCGGCCUAUCAGCUAGUUGGUGAGGUAAUGGGCCCACCAAGGCGACGACGGGUA